UGACAGAAGAGAGAGAGCACAGGCCGCCAUUGGCAAAAUGGUGUUUGCCUUUGUCGGGAUUGUGCACUCUCUCUUCUGUCA
rnacentral:miRNA from 1 species